UACAGAGGGGGCAAGCGUUAUUCGGAAUUAUUGGGCGUAAAGGGCGCGUAGGCGGUCGUGACAAGUCACUUGUGAAAUCUCCGGGCUUAACUCGGAACGGUCAAGUGAUACUGUCGGACUAGAGUACAGAAGGGGCAACUGGAAUUCUCGGUGUAGCGGUGAAAUGCGUAGAUAUCGAUUUGGAACGCCAAUGGUGAAAACAGGUCGCUGGGGAUGAGCUGACG
rnacentral:rRNA from 1 species